GAGGUUGUGUCCAGGUGUGCUGGGGUGGCACGGUGUGUACAGGGUGGGUGCAGGGCCACCUCAUGAGGUGGGUGGUGAGAAGGGGGAGACGCAGGGCAGGACCGCAGGUGACGGCAGCGCGCCCUUGCUGGUGGCAUGCCUCGUGGCACUGCCAGCCAGAGGACUGCAGCAGGCAAAACUUUGAGGAAGGCAGGGAGAAGUGGUUGAUCGUGUGUCUUCCUCCUGGCAAGCUGGCAUGCAAAUCAUGAUUCAAGUUCCCUUCUCUACAGGAAGCCCAAACACCAUGGUCUUUGCCGAGCUGCUGGAUGGUGCUCAGCUGUGACUGGCGCUGGUUCCACUCCAGCUCCAGCAAAAUUUCCAAACCUCCAUUUGGGUACAGCUCCAACUACCAGCCAGGGAAUUAGCGGGACAGCAACGACUGGCACCAGGCUUUGGGCUGGGCUCAGCUCUCUCUUGGCACCACUCUUCAGCAUCGGCAUCAAUGCGGCCUUGGGGCUGAGUACAGCCAUAGGGAAGGAGCCAGCAUUGCCUGAUGCCUGUCUGUAACAAAUGAGUUAAAUGGCAGGCAAGCAAUGGCAGCUCUUCUGCAAAGAAAAUUCACUUCCAGGAUGUGCCUCCAAGCCAGGCAAAGUGCCUGGAUGGUUUGCAGCUGGAAGAAGAAGCUCCUCAGAGGAGCAAACAGGACUGGGGAGAUGCAUUUGGAUAACUAGGAUGGGAGAGCAGAGGUGGGGGAGCAGCUCUCAGCUAAGCCCAGGACUCUGCUAGGGAAAGCACAGGGUGCGGGCACAAGUUACUGGGGGCUGCCUGAGAUCUGCUCCAUAGGAGCUUCUCCUAAUUCAAGCUACAUUGGCCAUGGGGGUAAUGCAAGGCGAUACAGAGUUGGGAGAGUGACAUUAACGGUAGCAGGACAAAGGCAUGCCCACGGGCAGAUCCUCUGGUGUAAAAUUAUGUCCACAACCUCCGUUAUCUCCUUCAUGACCCUGAGCCCUCUGAAUUUUAGUGACUUUAAUGAGACUGCUUAAUUCUUCACAGCCGCAAUGAUUUAACCUACCCACCUCAUGCAGCCAGUUCCAUUUCCCCAAAUCUCUAGAACAGAGCAUGGGCUGUUGUUAAUCUUGUUUUUUUUUUUUUGUUUGUUUUUUGUUUUCCUGCCAUGUGCCAUUUAUUGCCAUUGGCAAUGGCAUUUUGCCCACAACAGUGGGAACUGAGGUGUAACAGCGUGAACGUUACAAAUCUUUCCAAACUUCUGACGACUCAGCUCCCUGUUCACAUCCUUGCUUUCUGCCAUCCACAGAUAAUUAGCUCCAAACCAAAUCUCGUGAUUUCCCUCCAGCUCACAUCGUUAUGAAAUCGGGCAAGCACCUCUGCUUUCCUCACAAAUAUAUCACGUUCAUGAUUGUCAAAAGAACUCGGAAGUGUAGAAUUUUUUUUUUUUCAUUUGUUUAAUGUAUGUGGGAAAAUAAAAAACAUUAGCAUUUCUUAUGCGUUCUUUUUAACCUCAGGGCAUUUAAUUUAAGGCACAACUUGGUACCGAUUUUUUAAACUCCUGAUCCAGUCCACAUACUAGUGGCAGAGAUGUACUCAGCUUGAUGCACUGAUCAGGUGCUGGAACGAUUUUGCAGAAAUGGAACAAAGCUUGGGGUUACACCCUCUUCUGAGGCUGACCUCGAGGUUUCAUCUUUCACAGUGAAAACUGUACUGUGCUUACACUAAAUCUGACUUAAAAUACACCCCCCUCUCCAGAAAAAAAUACUGAUUUUCCCCUCUCCAAGUAAGAGGGGCGCAUUAGCCUGUGAGCGAACAACCUUUUAGAUUUCACAGAGCCUUAACGCGAUGACUUGCUUAUGCAGGCUGUGCACUAAACUAUGGGCCUGCCCAAGGACUCUGAUCCUAGGAUUUACUUUUCUCACCAAAGUCCAUAACAAACCCAGUGCAUUAAUUAUGCCAAGAGAAAGCAAGAGGGGAAGAGAUCUCUGGACAGCGCGUCAUAUCAGGAGCUUGUAGGCCUGGACUCGGUGCUGUUUGCCGUGUCUCUCACCUCCCGUGUAAUCUCUUUGCUUCUCCCUGCCUCAGUUUCCCCUGUCCCCGCAGCACUGGCAGCGUGCCCCUGUUUGUGCACUGUUCCUCACUCCUUGCAGGCACUCUCCAAAUGCUGAGCCGGGGCUUGCUGCGGUUUCCUACGCUGAGCAAACAAGAGUAUUGUUAUUGCCAUUCACAGCGGGUGUAUAGAGUAAUUAAAAUAAUCAAAACCGUUUGCGAGUUUAGACGUAAAUUCUGACAUGUUUACGACCUGCUUGUUUUGAUGUCUUUUGAGGCUACACCAUGUUUUCACGACUUCCCUCUACUGACCCAGUUGCAGGUGGAAGCGCAGGCCACAUUUCUGUCAGUCUGGUCCCACACACGAGGUCCCUGGACUCCACAAAACAAGAAAGAAGUAAUUGAAGCACUUGGGAACUCCCAGAUAAAAGGAGUGAGCCGUGCUAAGAGUAAAGUUACAUCUGUGGCUGCAUUGGCUGUACGGCCACCUCAUUUUGCAAUUCAUCAUAGGUUCUCCUACAUCCUCCACCCGCUCAGUAAGCCACACUGUGGUUAUGAGACACAGAGCUUGUGAAACUCCCUGUGUUGGAGGAAGGAACACAGAGGAAGAGCCAUGUUAACAGAUGAAGCGCUGGUUGCUCUGUUCACACCACCCAGCAUAUAAAACAGGCAUUUUGCUUCCUGACAUAGAAACCUUCCCAAAAUAUUCUUCCCCAGCAGCCCCUCGAAAGGUGCCAUUGUGGGCUAGCAGAAGAGCCAGGUGGGACUGAACCAAGAUGUGAGCUCUUCUUAGGACGUGUGUGUAGACUCACUGCCAUUCUUUGUCAAUAUUAUUUUUUUAUUAUAUAUAAAGAGAAUGUUACUGAAUGUUUCCAUCUGGUAUUGGGAUCAAAUUUGGCAUCCCAUGUCAUCCCACCAAACUUACAGUCUGCCUGUACAUCACAGGUGGCUGUGAAGCAGUUUCCACUGGAAAUUCUCUGAGGAAACAAGCAACAUGCUCACCGUGCUAGAGAAAGGUUGUACCACUUUGACUGCAACCUCUUAACAAGCAAGACUUUCACAAAAGGCAAUGAUAGUUUUGAGCUUUAAAGUGAAAAGUCUACCAAAGGAAGCAGAGGUCUCAACAGGACAUCCUAUGGAUGAGGCGGGAAGCACCACCUUGCCCAAGGGACCAGUGAAGGCUGGACAGAGGAUGACCCAGGCUGCACAAAGCUCCACAGUGAGCCCUCCAAUGCCCAAGAUUUCUCAGUGGCAUUCAAGAGAUUGCCAGAGAGCUCAGUAAUUAUCACCCACGUCUACUGCUGGAAGCUGUUCUCACAGCACCUUGUCAUUGUAGUCCCAAAGCUGGGACUUUAUCAUCUCUGUCAACUUUUUAUAGCAAUGAGAUCAGUGGGCUAUUUUAUAUAGGAAAAGUUUUUAUUUAUCAGCUCUAGUUUUCCUUCCUCUGAUUAUAUACAGUAUUCCCAUAGUUCUAGAUUGUGCGCAUUUGACUAAUUUUCUUCUACCUUUUUCUACCUAUUGUUCCUCUAAUAUAUUUUGUUUCUUAUUCACUUAUUUCUCUACUGAAUACUCUUUUUAAAUCUCUCUUCAUAUGGAAGCAGCGCCAAAGAUAUGAGAUCACUUUUAUUGCCUGCGCCUAUAAUUCCAGCAUACCUUACACGAGAUGGGCUGACUCAAUCUGCUUUAGAUAGCCUAAGGAAGGAUGCAUUAAUGUUCUAGACAGCAGAACUGUAGUAUCGUCCCUGAUGCUAUUCCUUUUACAUAGCAUAUACGUGAUUUUGUUUUGUUUUGUCUUGUUUGUUUGUUUUCCACUUGCUCCACUUUGACAAGAUGCUUCACUGAUUUCAGAAGGUCCAGAUCCUUUUUUUUUUUUUUUUUUUUCUGGAAUCUGUAAAGAUGUUGUAGAAGUAUGCAUUUUACACUUUUUCUUCUGCUCUUCAUUCUCUUCAUUGUCUGUAACUGAAAACUCAAACUUAAAUACAGUAAUUGAAAACUCAAAGCCAGUAAAAAAAA